rnacentral:lncRNA from 10 species
GAAAGUGCUGGCGUGGCCUCUCCUGACACAGAAAGCCGGCUCCUGGAUGCUUACAAAGGACUGGCCCGCGCAACACCGUUGCUCCUCAACCCGGGCCACACUCCAAGGACCUCUACUGAGCUUCAGCUUGCUCACCGAAAACGGCGCGGCCCCCUCUACCCGGGAUGUCGGAGCCCAGGAGACCCUGAGAGCCCCCAGCUCUUUCCGUAAUUGCAGGAGAAGGGGCAAGCGGGUCCGUAGCCGGGGGCCCUCCAGUGGCAUUAUCCUGAACCGCCACGCCCGCACGUGGCCCGGCUAGAGCUCCCUGGCGAAGGAUCACCUGUUCCUACAGUGACAACUGGACCUGGCCCGAACCCCUGGCAUCUGGCAACAUUAUUACCUGUCGAAACAGAAGUAGAGAUUUGAAAUAGAGGAUGCCUGUUCCCAUUUCCUCCUGCUGUCUGGAAGGAAGUCUGGCUUUCCAGCCCAACUCUAAGCUCAUCUUUACAUACAAAAUAAGGGUAUGUUUACAUGGAAAGCAAAAAUAGAACCAUGGAUUUACAGAAGGUUCCAUAGCAGCAAAUA